AGUCUGGUGUCAGCCGCCGCGGUAAUACCAGCUCCGCGAGUGGUCGGGGUGAUUACUGGGCCUAAAGCGCCUGUAGCCGGCCCACCAAGUCGCCCCUUAAAGUCCCCGGCUCAACCGGAGAACUGGGGGCGAUACUGGUGGGCUAGGGGGCGGGAGAGGCGGGGGGUACUCCCGGAGUAGGGGCGAAAUCCUUAGAUACCGGGAGGACCACCAGUGGCGGAAGCGCCCCGCUAGAACGCGCCCGACGGUGAGAGGCGAAAGCCGGGGCAGCAGACGGGAUUAGAUACCCCGGUAGUCCCGAGCUGUAAACGAUGCGGGCUAGGUGUCGAGUAGGCUUAGAGCCUACUCGGUGCCGCAGGGAAGCCGUUAAGCCCGCCGCCUGGGGAGUACGGUCGCAAGACUGA
rnacentral:rRNA from 1 species